rnacentral:rRNA from 1 species
AUUGAACGCUGGCGGCAGGCUUAACACAUGCAAGUCGAGCGGAGAGAGGUAGCUUGCUACCGAUCUUAGCGGCGGACGGGUGAGUAAUGCUUAGGAAUCUGCCUAUUAGUGGGGGACAACAUUUCGAAAGGAAUGCUAAUACCGCAUACGUCCUACGGGAGAAAGCAGGGGAUCUUCGGACCUUGCGCUAAUAGAUGAGCCUAAGUCGGAUUAGCUAGUUGGUGGGGUAAAGGCCUACCAAGGCGACGAUCUGUAGCGGGUCUGAGAGGAUGAUCCGCCACACUGGGACUGAUACACGGCCCAGACUCCUACGGGAGGCAGCAGUGGGGAAUAUUGGACAAUGGGCGCAAGCCUGAUCCAGCCAUGCCGCGUGUGUGAAGAAGGCCUUAUGGUUGUAAAGCACUUUAAGCGAGGAGGAGGCCACUUUAGUUAAUACCUAGAGAUAGUGGACGUUACUCGCAGAAUAAGCACCGGCUAACUCUGUGCCAGCCGCCGCAGUAAAAC